UUUUUUUUUAGUUCGAUUUAUUUCUCUGAUGGUCCCAGCAGUAUACAUUAUCAUGAGAAAAAACUCACCAAUUUGUCUUUUCUGCUUUGAGGCAGCGCCCAUUUCUGCAUAAUUACGGCAUGGUCUCUUCUUCAUCAUUCUUCUUUUCUGAAAUGAUAUCUAUUCACUGUUGAAGUUUUUAUUUAGGGUAAACAUAGUCUCUGGAUGUCUUUUUUUCUGAAAUGUGGUCUCUGGAUGUUAAAUGGAUGGAAACAAUGCUCUGUCUAUUAGCAUAUCGUAACAUGGCGUGUGUUCUGGAUGUUGUCCAUUUAUGCAAAGAUAUUUAGUGGCAUAUAUGAUAUUGGUGUGCACCCCGACUUAUUACUAAGUUCCCAUUCUUGUGUAGAUGUUUAGAAAUUGUUUCAAAUCGAGCAGUCAAUUAUUCAUUAAAGACUUCUAAUCGCCAUUAAUAGGUCAUCUGUGAUGGCUUGUGUCCAUAUAUAAGCCUUGAUACCAUGUUCCUAUGGCUACAGUGAUUCGAACAUGGAGCGGAUACACUUGUGAGGUGGUUUUGUUUGAGCAAUUUUGUAGACAGGCUGAAAGUUGGCAGUCAUGAAUAGACAAAUGCUGAACAUGCUAGCUUUUUUAUAGGUGUGUGUUUCAUAAACAAUUAUUCAGUUCGUUAAUCUAUAAUUAUUUCUCCCUAACAACAUGUGCAUGGACCUGAAAAUUUUAAUUCUGGUGGAGUGAAAGGCAAUACAGGGAGUGUGAAAAAGAGUAUAGAUGAUAUAAAUUUACAUAAAACAUAAAAUACUUAGCGCAUGCAAGUGUAAGGUUGAGGGUUGAUACGGGACUUCCAAACAUUUAAUUUCUUUUAAUUAUUAAUACCUCGAUCUUUGGAAUAUGUGGCAUGCCCUAGCCUGGUUUUUUCUGUUAUCAUUAUUUUUCUCAGAUGAUUGUGGUCUAAUUUAUGCGACUAAGACUGGUUAGGGUUUGAACCAUAUUACUCAAUAAUUUUUUUUUCACUUUGCUUCUCUCCAUUGUAAAUUACAUUGUUGUGAGGAAGGGAAAUCACCCCACUCUACCGUUAUGUGAAUCAGACAUCUUUACAGAGAAAAACUUUCUAUUCACCACUUACAUGCAUAUUUAUUCUAUAUGAUCCAAAUAAAACACAUCAACAUAUACUGAAUUAGUAGAAUAUUAUAUUCUUUCGUUAUUGGAUUGCAUAUUUCUGUUUGGUCCAUAUGCGGCAUUUUCUAUCUGUCAGGCAAUGUUCGCUAAAUUAUAUUGAUUGCCUUUACUCUUACUCUUGCUGCAUAUGAAAGACACCACCUACUUCGAGAUGAGAUGUGGGAUGGAAAAAAUACUGAACUGGUUUCACGAUCAUAAAGAAAAACGGCGUGGCAAGGCGCGCGUCCUCUUCUAGUCUUUUCUAUACAACAAGUGGCCGACCCAAGAUUGGCAGCGGAAAUUCAAAAAGGAUCCGCUGCCUUGCUGACCAUUGAGGGACACACUAAUAACCGUCCGAUCUACCAAUGUAAUGUAAGCAGCCACCUUUGCAACAAGAGUGGUGUUUCUGCAACAGUCUGCUUGUUGCAAUCACUCAAGUAUGUAUUUUUUAUUUUCCAUAACAGAGAUCUUGUUGCAAAAAUUUUAAAAAUCAUCUGUACAUGUAUUUUUUAUGCAACAGAGAUCUUGCUUCAGAUUUUUUUUUUCACAACAAAGGUCUUGUUGCAGAAUUUCAAAGAUUUCUGCAUAUGAUCCCUCUUUGUUUUUUUCGCGGGACACCUUGACUAUUGCAACAAGAGCUUUAUUCAGAAACAUGCUCCCCCGAAACCGUCAUUCACCACGAGCUUCGCCGGAUGGUGGUGAGGGAGGAUCGGCGCUGCCCGUCCCCGCCUUCGUGCUGCCGCCGGCGAGCACUGAACCUCCGACCGAAGUCACCUCACCACCAUCCUGCUCUUCCUUCUAUUUUCUCCAUCUUUCUGAAUCUCUCGUCACAGUAGCGCCGUUCGUCGGUGCCGUCGCGGGUCCUUGAUGUGAAACUCGCCGUCAACCCCGCCAGACCUCGCCGAGACGAGCUCUCACCACUCCUGGGCGACCCCACCUCCUGCCCACGGGACAUCCUCAUCGGAUCCGGCGGGAUCAGGCUGGAAUAUUUGCCAUCGUCGUGCUCCUAGCCGCACGAGUCUCCGCGUGCCAACGGUGCUCCUGCCCCUAGUCCCAGCUCCUCUUCUUCGCCGUGCAGGCCUCAUUUCACGGUGCCGCGGUGAGACGGCGUGGGAGGCUUAAAGAUCGUGUUGGCGCGGGAUGGUGGUCGGUUUGGUGGCGGGCUCCGGAGUGCCCGAGGUGAAGGUUGGGAUCGGGAGAAAUCCCUGUUGGCCUGGCCGACACCGACGCGGUGGCGCCUGCGGGUGUCGCCGGAUCAAGGGCGUCGGGGGCUACCCUUCCUUUCUCCUCGUCGCAUACCGGGGCAAACCUUUGGCAGCAGUGUCGUCAUCAUCACGUCCCUUCCUGGAGGUGUUGAUUGGUACCGGCGCUUCGGAAUCUAGGAGCUUGCCGGGAGAUCUCCGAUGGGCGCAGUGUUCGCGAGGUAUAUUCGUUUUUGUCGAUCCGCCGUUGUCGGUAUUUGUUCCUUUUGUAUUUUCUCUGUCAUUUCUUUUAGGCUUGACUGUGUUGUUUUCGUCCCAGCACCUAUCAUUGGUUGGAUCGGUUGGUUGCUUUGUAAUACAAAGCGGAGAAAACCCUUUUUGUAAGUUAUGUAUAUACUCAAGUCAUCACAGAAAAUUGUCUUGGGAAACCGUGUGCCCCCGAAGUGCACACGGUUCCCUUUUCAAGCAUGUGGAUGAUAACUACUUGGCAAACAAUUCUUUCAUUAGAACCGUAUAUGGACGAUAUCACAUAUUGUUUCCGGUGCAAUGGUCUACGGACGAUUAUUUUCUAGACACGCGUUUUUAUUUUUGCGCUGCGUGUGAUGACAAUGUACUUGUGUACUAGACUACUAGUGGAUGAGUAAAGGAAUUAUGUCACGUCCCUACAAAUAGUAUGAUCUGUUUAUCAUUGAUUGCCGAAUCACUGCAAACGGACACUCUGAGAUAGACAUAAAAGUGGGAACCAAACAUAUCUAUCUGCACGUCAGAGUCGGUCCACUCUAGAGGCUGCCAUCGUCGUGUUCCUUGUACAUGCACGCAGGACUGUUCCCAUCCAAGGCCAAAGCAGAAUCAAUCCCCGCAUAGAAAUCCCAGUCCAAACCGUAGCAGCCAUUGAUGCGAUCGAUGGAAGGCAGUCCUGUCGGGUCUUUACAUUGUCUGUCCAAUGAGAUCACUAGGGUGUUCUAGGUGGACUCUUUAGGCUGCUGGAUCUGUGUCCGGUGGGCAUGGUUAUCUUCCAUCAAAUUGUGAAAAGGCCUGAAACAUUUCGUCAUAAUCAAAGCCAUAAAGUUUCUUUUUUUUUGGUAUUUUCUCUGUUAUUUUUAUCAUUUUUCUGUGCAUGGUGGAAGCAUUGCACCUGGGUGUAGAAAAUAAAUGUGUGGCACUUGUCACUAUCUCUGGCAACAGUUUUUAAGAACAAACCAUCAAGUGGUUAAUUAAUAUGCACAUUUGCAAAAAGACUACAACUAACAAUGUCCAUAGGAAUAUAGCCUUGAAUCAAUACUAGUUUUUAUUACAAAAAAAACAUCUAGCUGCGUAUUUGCAGGUCAAGUGUGGUCAUUGUCAUGUUUCGUUGCCUGUUCUCGCUGUUAAAAGCACGCAGAGAAAAUGUGCCUUCUGUUGUUGGUGUCUUCCUUGCUACUGCACAUAAGAAAAAGGGAAGUAGCGAUGGUUAGGGGAGCUGGAAAAUAGUAACUGAGCUUCAACGUGGACAAAUAGAACCAAAACGAAAACAAGAAAACAUUUCUGUAGAAGUGAUAUAGCAGCAGUGUCUGGCUUUUGCUUGUACUCUCAAUCGCCAUUCAUCCAUCCAUCAAUCAAUCCAGAAGAAACCUAGCUGCUGGUGGCAGCCAUGGCCGUGGGCGUGGUGUUCUUCUUCUACCCCGUGGUUCUAGCAGCGGGGACGCUGCACUCGUUGGGCAUGCUAAGCUCCUGGUUUGCAAUGAGAUCUCCAUGGUUGUUUUAGUCGGGUUUUAGGUGACUCUUUAGGGUGCUGGGUCUCUGUUCGUCGGCCAUGGUUAUUUUCCAUCAAAUUUGGCAAGCUAAGGUGUUUCGUAUAAUCAAAGCCACAAAGUUUCAUAAUGUUUUGAUUUUGUUUGCUGUUCUGUUUGUCCAUCACCAAGCCUUCUUAGGUGCGUUUUAUGCUCCGGUGCCUUGCACAAAGGCUCACGCGUUGUCUAUUCCGCCAAAGGGCCAACAGAAAAGUUUUGCUUUCUCUGUGACAACCACAUGCAUCUAAUCUUCCAAGGUGGUGUUAUACUGUUAUAUAUAGUCCUUAAUUAUCAGAUCAACUUAUCAUGCAUAGUCAAUGUAGUAUAAUCUGGAAAUAUCGUAACUUGGUACAAUACAUAUUAUGAGAGAGCCGAAUGACGAAUGGACAAAAAAGGAACACAAUUAAUCAAUCUGGAAGGACAACUCUAAGAUCGAAUCUCAUUUUGGUAUGACGAGUAACUUUCAGAUUCAUAUCACAGAACGAUGAGUAAUCACAUCACCUCAUACACAGAACAAGAGCACCUCCAACUUCUUCCUCACAGCUCCAACAAUUCUCUGCCAGAAAAUGAUCAUGAGUGCCGACGAUAACCAAAAUAGGAUCGGAUCAAAGAACGACAAUCCGUCAAGACGGCACAGAAUCUUAUCCGUCGAACUGCCUAAGGUCCCACGACACGGCACCAUUCCAGCCAAAAAAAAGGUUUUGCACUUGUAGCUCAAAUCGAAAGCGACGGAGUGGGACUAGAACUACCAUCCGUCAACCGUUUCUAGCAGCAGAGAUAGAGAGCGAUGGACUAUAACUACUAACGCCAAGCUGGCGCGCUUGAGCUGCUGCUGGCUGACCUCUGCUGCUGGUUGAGCUUCUCCUGCUGCUGGGUGCCCUUGAGCUGCUGCUGUCUGACCUCCUCUGCAGCAGCUGAUUGAGCUCCUCCUGUAGCUGGAUGACCUUGAGCUGCUCCUUCUCGAGCUGCAGCUGCAGCUGGGCGUUCUUGAGCAGCUGCAGCUGGGCACGCUUAAGCUGCCCCUGCAGCAGGGCGCGCUUGAGCUUCACCUUGGCGAUGUGGCUCCAGGUCUUGCAGACGAGAGAGGCACAGAGGAGGCUUGCCGGGUCGUCCGGCGGGAGGCGGAGGAAGAUCUCUUCGAUGAGAUCGUCCGGGAGCGCCGGCGGUGGUGCUGCUGCCAUGGUGGCCCCUGGCUGUACAGCAUAAAUGAAACCAAGUUAAUUAUGUUUAUUCUAGAUGUACAACAUAGAAGAAACAGUAGACUGCAUAAAUAAAAGAAACAAAAACCCAUAAAGGUUGUAAGACUCGAAACUAAGGUUGUGCUCCAUAUGUUCUUGGACUAGAAACGAAAACAUCUCCCUUGCAACAUAUGUUCUUGGACGUCAAGUUGCCAGAAAAAAAGCUCUAUUGUUUUCCUUACUUCAUGGGCACGAAUUGUCAUGACAUAUAUAAAGAAUCUCUAUAGCCUUUAUUCAUGAGGCUGAUGCAUUUUCCAUCUAUUAGACACAGAAGAAGAGAAGGAAAUAUUUGCAGGUUGGCAAAGGGGACAAAAAAAAAACUUUCAUAUAAAUGGAGUCUCAGUAUUCGAAGUAUUCGGCUGCUGGUAAUGUUGGUGCCCAUGACACAGGUUUGUGUGGUGCUUGCACUUUUUUUAUACCCCCGCCCUUAGUUUUGCCGGUCUGGUUGCCAUGUUUUAAAAAAAAACAUCAAUAUGUAAUAUAUAACUAGAUAACUAGUUGCCCGGAUGUUGUUUUCUUCUUCCAAUCUAAUUUAAAGAUAAAAAUAUAAUUAUGCCUACUUACGAUGUUCCAGACUGAAAAAAGUUUACAUUGUACCAGUUUUAUCAGAUAAAAAUGCCCUAGUUACCAGAAUAAUUUGUACCUACUUGUUUUGAUGUUCCAGAUAAGAAAAAGGCUCACAUUCUACUAAUUUGCCAGAUAAUAAAAAAUGACCUAGUUACCAUGAUGUUCCAUAUAUAAAAAAAAGCAAGGUUUGCAUGUGCCCGAGAUAAAAAAAAGCCCUAUUUGCCAAUAUAAAUGUGCCUACUUGCCAUGAUGUUCAAGAUUGAAGGAGUAUGCGUUUGUACUGAUUUUACCAGAUAACAAAACAUCUAGCUGUCACUAUAAAUGUUCCGCCUACUUGCCAUGCAUAUUUGAGUCGUCUCACAAGCAACAACGCGAGAAUCAUUAGCGAAUUUUGAAUAUCCAUGCGUGUAUAUUCUCAAGUUGUGAUUCAGACACAUGUUGUGAAUCUUUUUGAUACCCUGAAUGAACUACAUCCAGUACCACAAAACACAUGUUUCAAAAUCUUGUUGCUACUCUGAAUGAACAGCGCGCAGUGCCACAAAAACAAAUGCUACUGAAUCCGAUGCUGCUCUAAACGAAGUGCGUGCAAUGCUACAAGUAGGAUACUGGCAGAAGGAGAAUGACUAGCAGCAGGAAACUAGGCAGGGUGAUGGACCUGGCUCUCGGUCGAGCCCGUCGUUGGCCUACGUGGAGAGGUGCAUCCUACCACGAGAGCCGCGGUCCUCUCCAAUCGCCCCUCUCCAGUUCUCCCCGCACCUCCACCUCGGACAUGACCUAGCUAGGAUACAUGACCUAGCGGCUAGCUACCUACACGCCAUCGACAGACUCGGCUUAUAUAAACUGUAAUAUUGUAACUGGGGGCAAGGCAAGGCAGUGGACGAACAGGUUACAAGCACCCGCAAUUGACUGACUAGAUCAUCCAUCGUUCGCUAGUACAGUAUUAGACAGCACAAAACGAAAACGAAAUCGAAAUCGAAAUCGAAAUCGAAGCCAAAAUGGAAGCAAUCCGGCAUCCCGCGAAGGGGAGCCCAGCUGGGGCAGCAUGGCAGUGGCAGAAGAGCAGGAGGGAAGGGGACUGGGGAGAGGGAGAGGGGAGGGGGUCAGCUUUACCCGCCUGCAGAGAUCCAGGNNNNNNNNNNNNNNNNNNNNNNNNNNNNNNNNNNNNNNNNNNNNNNNNNNNNNNNNNNNNNNNNNNNNNNNNNNNNNNNNNNNNNNNNNNNNNNNNNNNNNNNNNNNNNNNNNNNNNNNNNNNNNNNNNNNNNNNNNNNNNNNNNNNNNNNNNNNNNNNNNNNNNNNNNNNNNNNNNNNNNNNNNNNNNNNNNNNNNNNNNNNNNNNNNNNNNNNNNNNNNNNNNNNNNNNNNNNNNNNNNNNNNNNNNNNNNNNNNNNNNNNNNNNNNNNNNNNNNNNNNNNNNNNNNNNNNNNNNNNNNNNNNNNNNNNNNNNNNNNNNNNNNNNNNNNNNNNNNNNNNNNNNNNNNNNNNNNNNNNNNNNNNNNNNNNNNNNNNNNNNNNNNNNNNNNNNNNNNNNNNNNNNNNNNNNNNNNNNNNNNNNNNNNNNNNNNNNNNNNNNNNNNNNNNNNNNNNNNNNNNNNNNNNNNNNNNNNNNNNNNNNNNNNNNNNNNNNNAAUUUUUUCCAACUUAAAGUGCGAUUUGACGACGGACGGGUAGAAGCACUAAUGGUGUAGAUAGAUUGUAUUCGGAUGAUGAACUUUGAAAUGAUCAAUAAAAGUUUGUAUGCUCGAUAUGUAGAUGCCAAUGGUGUUUCCCCUCAUUUAAGAAAACAUGUAAAUACAUGUUUUUCUUGCAAGGGUGUAAAUACAUACGUUGAUGGACAUCCGCACAGAUAUACCCACUCCGUUCCAAAAAAUACUUAAAGUUAUAGGCUUGUGCUAAAUCAAACUUAAGUUCGACCAAAUCUCCAAAAAGAAAAAAUAACCCUAUAUAAGUUUCAUCAUAAAAUAUAGUUGAUGUAUGGGAGGCAAUACUCCGUCCCUUCCAUUUUUUAGGUCGAGCAGCCUCCACUUUUCCGUCCCUUAAGGCGCAACCAGCAGACCUAGCACUCGCUUUUGUUAUAUUAGAGGGUUCGCUUAUUAAUCAAUAAAAUAGUCCCACCUUGCUGCUUUAUAUUGAAUCCCACCGAAUUAUUAUUUCAAUUUUUGAUAAACGAAACGAAUCCAAGCCUGACAAGUCGAAUUCCAUUCGGUACCUUCGGGGUUUCUUUUUCCUUCUGGAUGACGACGUCACCGUGUCUCCUUAUUGGUAUUGUGAUGGUGACGAGGAACAAAGGGCCGGGGAGAUGAUCGAAAUUACCUCUAGCCCGAAGCCAGAGGGGGUCGUCGACACAACGCCAACCCUGAUGGUGGGGCACUUGGAAGGUCUGGAGACCCUCCUUGAGACUCCCCCUUUACCAGAAACGCCACCUGCAGGUUGUAGUAUAUGUUUGUAAGUAGACAAAAAAUCAACAAGCCUCUUGGGGGAUAGACAAGCAGAGGGGAGGGUGAGGUGUGGGUUCCGUUCAUCCUAUGAGAUGAGAGGAGGACAUAUGGAUGCCGUUGGGAGAAAAAGAGAUAGAUGAAGAGAGAGGCCAUGGCCAUGGUUUUUUUAAUCCUCCUCCUCCUCUCGUGUUCCCGAUUUCUAGGAAUUAGUUGCUGCCGCAUGCAUCGUCUAUCUUCUAGUCUAAAGAAGAAAAAGUUGCCCCUCUCAGGCAAGCUCGUCAUUACCUAGCGCGGCAUGUGUGCGUCGCCAUCAGGGCAUCAGGCACCCGCAAAAUGUCAUAUCAAUGCAAAUCAGACAACCAGGCAGGCAUCAUUCAGAAAUCAAAAUUGCAACCUCCUUGCUUGCUUAACUCACAAGGGACAUGGUCACAACUCAGAGCUCCAGCUGGGCCGCCUUGAGCAGGGUGCUCUCGAGUUGGGCGAUCCCCUCCUCCCGCAGCUGGGCGCGCUUGAGCUGCUCCUUGACGAUGUGGCUCCAGGUCUUGCAGACGAGGGAGGCACAGAGGAGGCUUGUCGGGUCGUCGAGCGGGAGGGAGGCGGAGGAGGAUCUCUUCGAUGAGAUCGUCCGGAAGUGUCGGUGGCGGUGCUGCUGCUAUGGUGGCCGCUGGCUGUGCAACAUAAACGAAACCAAGUUAAUUAUAUUUAUUCUAGCUGUACAACAUAAAAGAAACAGUAGGCGGCUGCAUAAAUAAAAGAAGCAAAAACCCAUAAAGGUUGUAAGACUGGAAAACUAAGCUUGUGCUCCAAAAUGCAUGUAAAAAGCAGUUCAAGGAUGCAAUUCAUCAAAAAAAAAUACUACCAGUAAACACAGGCAGUGGUGAAGGUGAGCAUCCGAUGGUAAAAGGUAGUUAGUCAAAUUUCAUGGCCAAUUGCAAGCAAAUCAAUCAUCUUUCAGUACUAUAGUGGAAAUACGGGGCAGACUCAGCCUUGAGUUGUCUAGGUUUGAAUUAUUAUUUUUUAGGGACUGGCUCUCAAUUCUUUUGGAUAAACUCUGUGCUUUUGGAAAAGAGCGAGCAAUUCAAAUUAAAACAUGCAUAGAGGUUGGAAAAAAAACAGCAACAAGAGAAAUGCAGCAGCAGACACAAACCUUGUUGUUUUGGUACCUACCACAACCAUCACCAGCAUAACCAUUAGGUCCAUAGUUCACAGCAUCAUUAUAUGGCACCUGUGGAAUCAUAUACCCAGCAGGAACAGCAGCAGGGUAACCAGGGAACCAAGGCCUGGAUAUUUUGAAGUGAAGGAAAUGAGUAAGAGAAAAUGGUGAUAAUGUAUCUGAAGGGUGAAUCCAUCUAUAAAUAUCAUGAAUGCAAAGAGAACGUCUAGCUGGGCAUGUCAAUAUAUCCCAGCUUUUUUUUAAAUGGUGUUAUGACUUAUUUUUAGAUAAGCAUGAUAAAUGCAGAACAUGUAUUCCUCAAGGAAGAAAGGUACUCCUAUCAGAACGCACCCCAUUCAAGCAAGCAUAAAGCAGAGUGGUAAAACAUUAGAACUAAAAAGUGGUCAAAAUUCUACUCCCUCCAUUCCUAAAUAUUUGUCUUUUUAGAGAUUUCAAAUGGACUACCACAUGGGAUGAACAGAUCCUAAAUUACUCGGAGCCAUACACAUCACAUAAUGAACAAAAUAAGUGAUAAGAAAGCACUUUGAGCGUUCAGAUAGAAAGUAAACAGGAGGUGUUAAACUUGCUACCUUGUAAAGUUGCUGUUGCCUCCUGGAUUGAGUCCUUGCCCAGUAAGACUGCUUUUUCUGAUUCAGUUUGGAACACUCCACCUAAAUUUGAUAAGAUGGAAAAUUGAAUGAGUAACGCACAGCCUGAAAUAUAGAUAGUUUUCACUAUAAACUUGGUCAAAGUUUGUUAAGUUUGACUUUUGAAAAAAUCUAUAUGCACUACAUUGUGGAACGGAGGGAGUAUAGAAUAAUGUUUAGUCAUUGUAUAUUACUAUGGGUAGAAAUGCUCAACAGCUAAACAUAUCCAAAUAGAUGUUCAGUUGUAAGUAUAAGAAAUAGCCAGGCAACUGCGGAAAAUCUGGCUAGUUCAACAAAUGUUAUUAUAUUGUGAUGCCUUGUUGUUAAUGGAUUGUGACCUAAUGGUACAUGGGAUGAAGAGAUCCUAAAUUACUCGGAGCCAUACAUAUGGCAUCAUGGACAAAGACGCCAAAGCACUUUGAGCGUUCAGAUAGAAAGUAAACAGGAGGUGUUAAACUUGCUACCUUGUAAAAGAGCUCUUGCCUUGUUGAUUGAGUCCUUGACCAGUAAGACUGCUUUUCCUGAUCCAGUUUGGGACACUGACGGCAUGGCUCCACCUAAAUUUGAUAAGAAAACUGAAUGAGUAAUGCACAGCCUGAAGAAAGAAAAUACAGUUGGUACAAUUACCAAAACCUAGGUGCUUUCUGGCUAUUGUUGCAAGACUUACCUCUAAAUGGGGUGUCCAUUUCACUCGAUUCCCCAACCUCUGCAUCGGGUACAUCGUGAAGUUGCUCUGAAACACAAAAACUGGUCAUCGUGGAACAGUUUGACUGGAGCAAACCCAAAGCUGGGCAAUAUGAGCUGUAGGCUCCAUCCGUAACAACAGGCCAGCACCAUUUUGAUUCAUCCAUUCAAACGAGGAGACUACGAAUAGAGGAGAUGGAGGGAGGAGCAGUGCGGUACCUUGGACGAGGAGGUCGGCCAUGGCCAUGGACUGGGCGCGGCAUCCGUCGGCGCCGCCCCGGCCUAGGGUUUUGCCAUACUCGCUCCGUUUUAAAAAAUGCAUAAAGUUAUAGGCUUGUUCUAAGUCAACUUAUUUUAAGUUUAACCAAAUCUACCAGAGAAAUAGACACAACUGCUAAAUUAGUUUUAUUAUUAGCUUCAUCACAAAAUAUAUAUAGUUAUAUAAUACUCCCUCCGUCCCAAAAUAAGUGACUCAACUUUGUACUAAUUUUAGUACAAAAUUAGUGUAAAGUUGAGUCAUUUAUUUUGGGACAGAGGGGGUAUAUAUUUGGUGAUGUUGGAUGCUAGUAAUUUUUUUGUAUAAAUGAGAAGAGACCAGAUGGGGGCGAGAAGAGUAGAUAUAAAUCUUUUGAUAGGAGGCAAUCACAAUCACAACGAAAACAUAUAUACUCCCUCCCUUUCAGUUUAUAUAGGUCCCUCAUGUCGUUAAUUUUACAAAUGUAAUUUGAAUUGCAUAUCACAAAAUCUAUACCAUCAGGAAAAUAGAGCAUUUGAAGUUUUUAAUGGCAUUAAUAUAGAACUUUCAUUAUGUUGGUCAGAUUGUUGAUCUAGGGAUACCCACAGGCCUUACAAACAAACACGGAAAGGAGGUACUACUCUCCAAGUAUACAGGUAGAUGCAGAGCCACAACAAGAGAAGCAAACCACGAGGCUCUAUCUAUGUACAACUAAUGGGAUUGGUUCUAAUGACAAGAGGUUCAUAUUAGACACCUCUGCACCCACGGAACAGGGUCACACAACAGAUCCGCGGAGCCGCGCUUCCGCCUCCAGGCAAGGAACCAUUGCGCUACGAUACGGCGAGCCGCUACCUAUGAUGAGAUUACAUGAGAAGCGGAGUCCGCAGAGUCCUUCAGAGGAUGAUGCGAGUGCGUGCAGACUCUCGGAGGUUGUCCUUUCAUCCACAGGUUCCUGAGCUCGCCCCGCUUUUUACCGAGUGAUAUGAAAGUUCCUGCGGUAGACAGGAUGGUUUCGUUCAAGGCACUGGCUCAAGAAUCUGACGAUAUAAAAUUUAUCGAUGGACACAAAGGCGGGGUUUUCGUCCUUACCAAGCGUGAAGGGCACGAUGUAAAGAAGAGCUGGUUGGCCGUGACCAUCCAUGAGAUUCAAGGCAACGUAGGUUAUCAGAAGGCCUGAAUGAAAAAGACAAAUAUACACCAUGUCAGAACUUCAGGUGAAAAAUACCAACUUACCGCCAGCAUGUUUUACAGAAUUGUACACAUAAAAAAAAGAAUUGUACACAUCAACAUAUAUGAUAUCAACAUAAUUCAUGUCUUCUGAAGCAUUUCAGAAAGGGGGCAUUACUUCAUUUAUUCAAUGAAAGAGACAUCCGUAGCGAGAAAAACAUUGAAAAGUAACCGUGAAUUCUGAAUCGCCUUGAGAUACUUUUGCUCAAGAGUAGUUUGUAUCACAUGAUUCCAUAUAAGACAGGACAUGCUAAUUAAGGAAGCCCGCAAACUGUUCUUAGCAAAAUGCAGAAAUGCAUAGUUGAUAUGGAAGCAGGCAGUGUCUUACCAGAACCGUACGCAACCAUUGACCACAGAAAGUAACCAGAUUGUAAGGUCUUCCUCGCAGCCCAAUCAUACCUAAAAAUGGAGAGAGAUCUCAACUACUUACACCAUCAUAAUGUUGGCAUACAGUAACAAAAGUAAAUACCCAGCAGAUGGGAUGGAAUAAUAUCCAUGCUGACAGUUGUUCUACAUGCUCUAAUCAAUGAAACCCGCCCUUCCAACAAAAAUUGAAAAUUCACAUAUGACAAGCCAGGAGCCCAAAUUUAGCACACUAACCUUAGCGCAAAAGCAACCAGCAGUCCUGGAAGGAGGAUAUCACCAAAGCCUAUGAUGCUGUAUCCACCCCAUGGAUCAAACAUGCGUGGGAUCUUUAACAGCAUGGGUACACCAUCUUCAUCAGUAUUAUCGCCAC
rnacentral:lncRNA from 1 species